rnacentral:tRNA from 1 species
GAGGGUAUAGCUCAGGGGUAGAGUGUGUGCUUAACAUGCAUGAGGUCCUGGGUUCAGCCCCUGUGCCUCUA